rnacentral:lncRNA from 1 species
AAGAAUAAAAAAAAGAGGAUAAACAAAAGAAAAAGAAAAUAAUUUCUAUUUUUGAUUUAUUUAUUCUUUUGGCUUGUCUAUGCUACUCCAGUCGGAGUAAGCGUUCGUGAUCCUUAGUUGCAUAAUCUACAAUUACUGAUCUAUUCUUUUUCAAAGAGAAAUUUGGUUAUAGUAACAAGCUCAGCAACGGCAAAAAUGAGAACACCGGA